UCACAGUUUGUUUUGUUUGGUGCACGAACGGAAACGUCAUGAAUACUAGCCAAUGGAAGUAAAAUAUCAGGAAUCAGUUGGAAGCUUUUUAGGAUAGUUCUUUUAUAGGUAACAGAGUAACAUCAAGAGUAUACUGCACGAUCCAUUGGCAAUAAGGGCAUCCUCAAUUGGUUGUGUUUAACUAAUGCUUGAGAUUACUUAAAUCGUAGAAGUUGCGUCGGACAGAGAUAAUCAGAUACAUUAGAAUGUUGGCAAGUUUUCCCGAGAAGCGUCCGAGCCUGUCCAGGCAAAUUGAGAACAAAUGAGGCAACAACGCUUUGAAUGAAUGAAUUGAAAUUAUCCCUUAUUCUACUCAUAAAUCUUCAUUAUAAUAAAACUAAAUUGUGACUCUUGCUGCUUUGCGGAAUACGUUUUA